rnacentral:rRNA from 1 species
AUUGAACGCUGGCGGCAGGCCUAACACAUGCAAGUCGAGCGGAGCGGCGGACGGGUGAGUAAUGCCUAGGAAUCUGCCUGGUAGUGGGGGAUAACGUCAGGAAACGGGCGCUAAUACCGCAUACUAUCAGAUGAGCCGACGUCGGAUUUGGUAGUUGGUGGGGUAAAGGCCUACAAAGGCGACGAACCGUAACUGGUCUGAGCGGAUGAUCAGUCACACGGGAACUGAGACACGGGCCAGACGCCUCCGUGAGGCAGCAGAGGGGAAUGUUGGACAAUGGGCGAAAGCCUGGUCCAGCCAUGCCGCUGGUGUGAAGAAGGUCUUCGGAUUGUAAAGCACGUUAAGUUGGGAGGCGUUACCAACAGAAUAAGCACCGGCUAACUUCGUGCCAGCAGCCGCGGUAAUAC